rnacentral:rRNA from 1 species
UGCAGUCGAGAUCAUUCGCAAUGGGCGAAAGCCUGACGAUGCGACGCCGUGUGAGCGAAGAAGGCCUUAGGGUCGUAAAGCUCUUUCGCUUGGGAACAAGAGAAGCUGACGAAUAAUCAGUGGAUUUGAGCGUACCAGGUAAAGAAGCACCGGCUAACUCC